AAGUCGUAACAAGGUUUCCGUAGGUGAACCUGCGGAAGGAUCAUUAUCGUACUAUGGAGGCGCGAGGGCUGUCGCUGACCUUUCCAAAAGGUCGUGCACGCCUGAGUGUUCUCAUCUACAAUCCACCUCACCUCUUGUGCACCACCGCGUGGGGCGCCUCCCUCUUGGCUUGCUCCAAGGGGAGAAGGCUCGCGUUUUUCACACAAACAUCCUUAUAGUUUAGAAUGUCAUUCAUUUGCGAUCACACGCAAUCAAUACAACUUUCAACAACGGAUCUCUUGGCUCUCGCAUCGAUGAAGAACGCAGCGAAAUGCGAUACGUAAUGUGAAUUGCAGAAUUCAGUGAAUCAUCGAAUCUUUGAACGCACCUUGCGCCCCUUGGCAUUCCGAGGGGCACACCCGUUUGAGUGUCGUGAAAUUCUCAAACCUUCUUGGUUUCUUGACCAAGAUGGCUUUGGACUUUGGAGGUAUCUUGCUGGCUUUGCAAAAAGCCGGCUCCUCUUAAAUGCAUUAGUGGGGUCUCCUUUGCCGAUCCCCAGGCGUGAUAAGUUGCUUCUACGUCUUGGGAUUUGCUCUGUUCCUUGAGAACCUGCUUCCAAUCGUCUCAUCAAAGACAUCGUUCGAGCUUGCUCGACCCACGAACCUUGACCUCAAAUCGGGUGAGACUACCCGCUGAACUUAAGCAUAUCAAUAAGCGGAGGAAAAGAAACUAACAAGGAUUCCCCUAGUAACUGCGAGUGAAGCGGGAAAAGCUCAAAUUUAAAAUCUGGUGGCCUCUGGUCGCCCGAGUUGUAAUUUAGAGAAGCGUCUUCCGCGCUGGACCAUGCACAAGUCUCCUGGAAUGGAGCCUCAUAGAGGGUGAGAAUCCCGUCUUUGGCAUGGAUGCACCAGGGCUUUCGUGAUGCGCUCUCAAAGAGUCGAGUUGUUUGGGAAUGCAGCUCAAAAUGGGUGGUGAACUCCAUCUAAAGCUAAAUAUAGGCGAGAGACCGAUAGCGAACAAGUACCGUGAGGGAAAGAUGAAAAGCACUUUGGAAAGAGAGUGAAACAGUACGUGAAAUUGUUGAAAGGGAAACGCUUGAAGUCAGUCGCGUCGACCGAGCCUCAGCCUCGCCUUGGCUUGGUGUACUUCUCGGCCGACGGGUCAGCGUCAAUUUUGCCCCUCGGAUAAUGGCAAGGGAAAGGUAGCACCUUUAUAGGUGUGUUAUAGUCUCUUGUCGCAUGCGAGGGUCGGGAUUGAGGAACUCAGCACGCACCUCUCGGUGUCGGGGCUUCGGCCCACGCUACGUGCUUAGGAUGCUGGCGUAAUGGCUUUAAACGACC
rnacentral:rRNA from 1 species